CAACAACCACUAGACCUGUGAGAAAGCCCUGCAGAGAUUAAAGGAGCUGAUUCUAUAUGCACAUAUUGGAGGAAGAAGAACAGAUUUAUCUAUUCUGACUUGCACCUGCUGACUAGUGAGACAAAGGGCCAAGAAGCAGGGGUGGAGAGACCUUCCUGUGAAGGCAGUGGAGGGCAGAGUCAGAGGUCCCAGGCUCCCAGACAGCUCACCAAGCAUUCCCAGUCCAAGGAACAUUCCCGCCUUCUUAUUCCAGGUUGCACAUAUUAAAGGAAUUGACAGAACCCCCACCUCAGCCACAGUGACCCAGACCAGAGGCCAGCGUGUCGACUGAUCCUCAGCCCCGAAGUCCUCCCAUGUCCAUGGCCUUACCUCUGACAUCUGAUUUCUUUCUGCUGCUGCGGUUGUCAGUGUACUUAACUUCUGGCUCUAUUUCAAUAAAUGAUUAUGAUGACCUCU
rnacentral:lncRNA from 1 species